GGGGAGCGUUCUGUAAGCCGUUGAAGGUGGUCUGUAAGGGCUGCUGGAGGUAUCAGAAGUGCGAAUGCUGACAUGAGUAACGAUAAAGGGAGUGAAAAACUCCCUCGCCGGAAGACCAAGGGUUCCUGUCCAACGUUAAUCGGGGCAGGGUAAGUCGACUCCUAAGGCGAGGCCGAAAGGCGUAGUCGAUGGGAAACGGGUUAAUAUUCCCGUACUUCUUACAAUUGCGAUGGGGGGACGGAGAAGGCUAGGUGGGCCUGGCGACGGUUGUCCAGGUUCAAGUACGUAGGCGGAUGGUUUAGGUAAAUCCGGACCAUUACUAACGCUGAGAUACGAUGUCGAGCUACUACGGUAGUGAAGUCAUUGAUGCCAUGCUUCCAGGAAAAGCCUCUAAGCUUCAGAUUGUAAGGAAUCGUACCCCAAACCGACACAGGUGGUCGGGUAGAGAAUACCAAGGCGCUUGAGAGAACUCGGGUGAAGGAACUAGGCAAAAUGGUACCGUAACUUCGGGAGAAGGUACGCUCUUAUCAGUGAAGUCCCUUGCGGAUGGAGCAGACGAGAGUCGCAGAUACCAGGUGGCUGCAACUGUUUAUUAAAAACACAGCACUGUGCAAA
rnacentral:rRNA from 1 species